rnacentral:rRNA from 1 species
GCUACACAUGCAGUCGAGCGGUAACAGAAUUAGCUUGCUAAUUUGCUGACGAGCGGCGGACGGGUGAGUAAUGCCUGGGAAUAUGCCUUAGUGUGGGGGAUAACUAUUGGAAACGAUAGCUAAUACCGCAUAAUGUCUUCGGACCAAAGAGGGGGAUCUUCGGACCUCUCGCGCUAAGAUUAGCCCAGGUGAGAUUAGCUUGUUGGUGAGGUAAGAGCUCACCAAGGCGACGAUCUCUAGCUGGUCUGAGAGGAUGAUCAGCCACACUGGAACUGAGACACGGUCCAGACUCCUACGGGAGGCAGCAGUGGGGAAUAUUGCACAAUGGGCGAAAGCCUGAUGCAGCCAUGCCGCGUGUAUGAAGAAGGCCUUCGGGUUGUAAAGUACUUUCAGUCGUGAGGAAGGGUGUGUNGUUAAUAGCUGCAUAUCUUGACGUUAGCNACAGAAGAAGCACCGGCUAACUCCGUGCCAGCAGCCGCGGUAAUACGGAGGGUGCGAGCGUUAAUCGGAAUUACUGG